rnacentral:rRNA from 1 species
CACUCCUGCGGGAGGCAGCAGUGGGGAAUUUUGGACAAUGGGCGAAAGCCUGAUCCAGCAAUGCCGCGUGAGUGAAGAAGGCCUUCGGGUUGUAAAGCUCUUUUGUCAGGGAAGAAACGGUGAGAGCUAAUAUCUUUUGCUAAUGACGGUACCUGAAGAAUAAGCACCGGCUAACUACGUGCCAGCAGCCGCGGUAAUACGUAGGGUGCAAGCGUUAAUCGGAAUUACUGGGCGUAAAGCGUGCGCAGGCGGUUUUGUAAGUCUGAUGUGAAAUCCCCGGGCUCAACCUGGGAAUUGCAUUGGAGACUGCAAGGCUAGAAUCUGGCAGAGGGGGGUAGAAUUCCACGUGUAGCAGUGAAAUGCGUAGAUAUGUGGAGGAACACCGAUGGCGAAGGCAGCCCCCUGGGUCAAGAUUGACGCUCAUGCACGAAAGCGUGGGGAGCAAACAGGAUUAGAUACCCUUGUAGUCCC